rnacentral:rRNA from 1 species
CCUACGGGUGGCUGCAGUGGGGAAUAUUGGACAAUGGGGGCAACCCUGAUCCAGCCAUGCCGCGUGUGUGAAGAAGGCCCUCGGGUUGUAAAGCACUUUCAGUGAGGAAGAACGCCUGGUGGUUAAUACCCAUCAGGAAAGACAUCACUCACAGAAGAAGCACCGGCUAACUCCGUGCCAGCAGCCGCGGUAAUACGGAGGGUGCGAGCGUUAAUCGGAAUUACUGGGCGUAAAGCGCGCGUAGGUGGCUUGAUAAGCCGGUUGUGAAAGCCCCGGGCUCAACCUGGGAACGGCAUCCGGAACUGUCAAGCUAGAGGGCAGGGGAGGAAGGUAGAAUUCCCGGUGUAGCGGUGAACUGCGUAGAGAGCGGGAGGAAUACCAGUGGCGAAGGCGGCCUUCUGGACUGACACUGACACUGAGGUGCGAAAGCGUGGGUAGCAAACAGGAUUAGAUACCCCGGUAGUC